GCCAGGUGUGGUGGUGCGAGCAUGUAGUCUCAGCUACUCAGGAGGCUGAGGCGGGAGGAUCGCUUGAGCCCAGGAGUUCUGGACUGUAGUGCGCUACGCUGAUUGGGUCUCCACGCUAAGUUCAGCAUCAAUACGGUGACCUCCCAGGAGCAGGGGAUUACCAGGUUGCCUAAGAAGGGGUGAGCCAGCCCAGGUCAGCCAAAACUCCUGUGCUGAUCAGUAGUGGGAUCUGUGCCUGUGAAAAGCCACUGCACACUGGCCUGGGAAACAUAGCAAGAUCCUGUCUCUA
ensembl:misc_RNA Metazoa_SRP Metazoan signal recognition particle RNA